CACGUCUCCCUCUGUCCGUGUAUUGGAUUAACCCCAGUCAAAAGAUGGCCAAAGUGAUUAUUCAUGUUUCUUGCCAAUGAUAGAUGUAGAUCUUGCAAUGACUAAGUGUAUUUUGCUGUACUUUUAUGAUAUUUAAAACGGGUACUUGAACUUCAUUUGUGUUCUUGUAUAAGUUGUUUAUGAGUGUGAUGGUGCUUGCUUUUUAUACAUACCUCAAUGAUAUUUCUCUGUAUACAUUUCCCAUGAUAUUACAUAUGUAGUGCUAUUACUAUGAUUAUUUAUUUUAUUCAAAAAGUGACUUGUUGUUGGUUUCCUCGUAAUCUGAUAUUACAUGUAAUUAACUUAUCGUACAUGUUAAUGAAACUGAAUAUUGUUUGCUUUAUCCUCUUUGAGAUGUAAACCCAAAUUAUAAUAAUUUCUCAUUCAGUAAUCACCAGGCAACAGUGGACACAGAUUUUGAGCGAGCGUUUUGAUCUGUCUUUUUCGAGUUUAAAGUUUUAUUAUGAUGUAUUAAGGGCCAUUUUUAGGCAUUUUAUUUGUUUUGAUUUCCCUACAAACAGUGGCUGUAGACCAACUGCUUUGUAUGGAUGAUGGAUUGUUAUGAACUCCCCGUUGUUCUGUUUUUAUAUUGCUUGUUCAGAAAUAAAUCACUGACCUUUG
rnacentral:sRNA from 1 species